rnacentral:lncRNA from 1 species
CAUAUUUUUUCAAUUCAUUUAUGUACAUUAUAAAUUCUUGUUUGUCUUUCUCUAUCCAAAGAUAAAGCUUACAAUUUAUUCUUUGCUAUAAUCAUUCAAUUCUAUUUUUGCUAUGGGAUUAUAUUUUCCCAAUGAGCCAGUGGGUUUUCAAUGUAGUUGUCUUCUAAUCUUUUUUCUAUUGUCUUUUGGAUUCCCAUGGUAGAUAUAGUUGCUAGGUGCUAUUUUAUCUUCAUAUGCUUAUUGUUUGGUAAAAAUUGAACUUCUUAUGUAUUAUGUUUCUUUUGGAAUUUCUCAUCCUUUCUCCUAUAAGGCCUAGUUAUUCUUAUAGCAAAAUCCAUAUGUUUACAUGGUGUGGUUAAUGUUAUUACUUUAGUAUUUAUUUCUAAUAGCAUGCAAUUUUGUUGGAAAUCUAAUCCCAACAAUAUAUCACAUGUGUUCUCAUUAAAUUGGUAUAGCAUAUUGAUCUUUAGUUUCUAUUGUCCUAUCUGAAUAGGUAUAUUUGUAGCUCCUAAUUCCGUAAUAUGUAUUUCUUGUCCUGAUGUAUUCAUCCUUAAUGAGGUUUUUCAUAUUUUUCCAUAAUUU